UUAAUACAUUUUAGGGACUUGCAAUACAACUGGAAUUUGUUAUAAUAAGCAUCAAAAGUACUAAGAAGAAUUACCUUGUGUUGCAAGUGGUCCCGCCUUGAUGUAGUGACAUACUUCAGGAGUCCUGUCAGAAUUUAACCAGAUAAGUUUCUUCUGCUGCAGACACCUCCUCAUCUGACUGACCAGCUCUGAAAAAGGCUAGUCUCAAGACAAGGAUGGAGAAAAAUAAUACAACAGAAUUCUAUCAUGGAAAUGACAACAAGGAUGAUUACGAGUAUGACUACGAAUAUGACUACGAGGAUGACUACGAGUAUGACUAUGAGGCAUUUGUUAAGCUGAGACAGUCUCUUAACACCAUGUCUCUCACUGGUUACUGCCUGGCCUUCUUUCUUGGUGUGCUCGGUAAUGGAGUGGUUAUCUGGUUGGCCGGGUUCAAGAUGAAGAAAACAGUUAACACAGUUUGGUUCCUCAACCUCGCUGUGGCCGACUUCCUCCUCACAGCAUUCCUGCCUCUGAGUGUGACAUACACAGCCAUGGAUUUCCACUGGCCUUUUGGAAGCUUCAUGUGCAAACUGAACAACACCAUAAACUCUCUAAACAUGUUUGCCAGUGUCUACAUUGUGAUGGUGAUCAGUGUGGACAGAUGUGUGUCUGUGGUGUGGCCCGUCUGGGCCCAGAACCACCGAAAUGUACGCAAGGCAUCAUAUGUGUGUCUGGGUGUUUGGGUCCUGGCUCUGAUUCUCAGCACUCCAGACUUCAUCUUAAGGGACACCACGCCAUUAUAUUUUCCCGAAGAUAUCAUCAGAUGCUUCAACAGCUUCGCUCUGUCAGAUGAUUAUGAAACAGAAUCUGUGAAACAGUUACGAAGCUUUCGUCAUCAGGCCAUGAUCAUCACCCGCUUCAUCCUGGGAUUUAUUGUCCCCUUCACUGUCAUUGUCUCCUGCUAUGCUGUGAUAAUCCAUCAUCUGAGGAGGAACCGCACCCUGGCCAACCAGUCAAGUCGACCCUUUAAGAUCAUCGCUGCCAUCAUCACCACUUUUUUCCUGUGCUGGGCUCCUUUUCACAUCCUGACUCUAAUUGAGAUGGUUCAUCACACAACUGAACAUUUAAAUGAAACAUUAUCCGAUGUCACUACUAUUGGUGUCCCUAUAGCCACCAGCCUGGCGCUUCUCAACAUUUGCCUGAAUCCCCUGCUGUAUGUGUUCAUCGGCCAAGAUUUCAAGAAUAUAGUCUGCAAAUCCAUCCCGAGGGUUCUGGAGACUGCCUUCCAGGAGGAGGAGACACGCCCUCAUACCAACACAGAGUCACCGUUCACUAGUCGCAGUAAAGAGCAGUCUGUUAUUGAUGCUGAAGUAUAAGAAGAACAUGUUGACAGGAAGGAACAGAUUGACAAAGAUCAACUAUUACUCCACUGGUAGCUGGCCCUUCCUCCUGUGUUCCUGCCAGUCUGAUUGUCUUCCCCGCCCUGAUUGUUUUCACCUGUUCCCCAUUACCUAGUGUCUUUAUAUCAUCCUUUGUCCUGUGCCAGUUCGUCGUGUCGCUUGAUAGUAGGACCAGUAUGCUGUCUUUAAAGGUUAAAAAUAAUAUUAAAAUUCAUAAGUUAAAGUGUUAGAAAGGGUAAAAAUGUAAAAGAUGUAUUUUUCUUUAGUUCAUGAAAAUCCGCUCUGCCACCUUACUUCAGUGAACGAGCUAAGGCAGUAUAAUGUAGAGUCGUGCUCUUAAAGUUGGUAGAUUAUUAAAUUUUGAUUAUUAAAGAUAGAUUUUUUUUCUUUGUAAUACACUGCAGUGACUCCUCCAAUUACUGACUGUCAUACAGGAUUUAACCCCAAGGCGGAGCUGUUGACUAAGAGUCAUAACAAAACACCCUGUGAUAGAGCCAGCGAGUGAGCUGAACGAAGAAAAAACAUUAACCGGCUAACCAACUAAUCAAUCCAUCCAGCUUCAUCUGAGUAAAAGCAAGCGUGUGGGUGCAUUUCGGUUUUCAUAGCAGGAGUUUUAAACACAUCGACAGGACGUACGUUGUCUGCAAACUUUACUGCACUGUGGAAAUACUAGCAACGUGAGGGCUCCAGGUUCAAACCCCGGUCUGGGCUCUUCUGUGCGGAGUUUGCAUGUUCUCCCUGUGCCUGCGUGGGUUUUCUCCGGGUACUCCGGCUUCCUCCCACAAUCCCCAAAACAUGUACAUUAGGUUAACUGGCUA